UACGAGGGGGGCAAGCGUUGUUCGGAUUUAUUGGGCGUAAAGGGUGCGUAGGCGGUUUGGCAAGUCUUAUGUGAAAUCUUCGGGCUCAACCCGAAGUCUGCAUAAGAAACUGCCGGGCUUGAGUAUGGGAGAGGUGAGUGGAAUUCCCGGUGUAGCGGUGAAAUGCGUAGAUAUCGGAAGGAAGACCAGUGGCGAAGGCGGGUCUCUGGACAGUUCCUGACGCUGAGGCACGAAGGCCAGGGGAGCAAACGGG
rnacentral:rRNA from 1 species